GGCUGUGUAGCAUAAUGGUUAAGAGCUUGGAUUCUGGAACCAAAAUAUCUGGGUCUGAAUCCCAGCUCCACUA
rnacentral:tRNA from 1 species